rnacentral:rRNA from 1 species
GUGGGGAAUUUUGGACAAUGGGCGCAAGCCUGAUCCAGCAAUGCCGCGUGCAGGAAGAAGGCCUUCGGGUUGUAAACUGCUUUUGUCAGGGAAGAAAUCUUCUGGGCUAAUACCCCGGGAGGAUGACGGUACCUGAAGAAUAAGCACCGGCUAACUACGUGCCAGCAGCCGCGGUAAUACGUAGGGUGCGAGCGUUAAUCGGAAUUACUGGGCGUAAAGCGUGCGCAGGCGGCUUUGCAAGCGAGAUGUGAAAUCCCCGGGCUCAACCUGGGAACUGCAUUUGUGACUGCAAGGCUAGAGUACGGCAGAGGGGGAUGGAAUUCCGCGUGUAGCAGUGAAAUGCGUAGAUAUGCGGAGGAACACCAAUGGCGAAGGCAAUCCCCUGGGCCUGUACUGACGCUCAUGCACGAAAGCGUGGGGAGCAAACAGGAUUAGAAACCCGUGUAGUCC